rnacentral:lncRNA from 1 species
AGGUGCGCUUUGCUUCCUAACCCGUUGCCGGGUUGGAGAUUCCACCUCCGAAGUUUUCUUUCUGACUUUUGAUUUUACAUUCCUAGUACAGUGGAGAAGCCCAGGCGGCCUAGAAUCCAGUGUCGUCCGUGAGUGCUUGGCUGGUGUUCAAGUGCAUCUUCCAGCCUGAGACCGCGUGGACUCGCUCAUCGUGAGGGCGAGAGGAGGAUAAGCCCAUUGGGCUGUCGGCUGAGAGUGAGGUGCGGGAUUGCUGAUGAAAUCCUUGGCAUCGUCGGAGAUCUCAUCGAAUGCCUCGUCGUCGAAGUCCCAGGUGGCUGAGGUAACGUUGGCCAAGGUUUCGUUAUCGUUGUCUCCCAUGAAGGGGGAAAGGCCACUGACUCUGGAGAGACAAGAGCAGGACAGCAGGUGUGGCUAGGAGAGGGCGCGACGACCAGAUGAGGGAAUUGAGGCACAGCCCAGGCUCAAGUCACCUGCCCAAAGAUUCACAGCCAGUGAGAUUGGAAGCCAGGUAUCUGCCUCUAGAGCCUGUCCUCUUAAAUGCUAUACUAUCCUAACAUUUCUGUAAAGAUGAAGUAAAUUGCAGUGUUCAGCACUGGCACCAGGCCUGGUCCACAGUAAGGAGGCGGUCCAUGCCCGGAGAUCUCAUGCAGUUCUGCUGGGUUCCCUCCACUGCCUUACCAAGCUGUGAGUGCAGGAAUGACUUUGUGACCAGCAGCUUAAGCCAAAUAAACUUUAUAAGGUAAAGAAUUU